rnacentral:rRNA from 1 species
UUGAUCCUGGCUCAGGAUGAACGCUAGCGGCGCGCUUAAUGCAUGCAAGUCGAGCGAUGAGGCUCCUUCGGGGGUACAUCAGCGGCAGACGGGUGAGUAACACGUAGGUGACCUACCCUCGAGACGGGGAUAACGGCUGGAAACAGUCGCUAAUACCCGAUAGACUUACCAGGUCAAAGCGGUAAGAAAAGCUACGGUGCUUGAGGAGGGGCCUGCGGCCCAUCAGCUAGUUGGUAGGGUAACGGCCUACCAAGGCGAAGACGGGUAGGGGGUGUGAGAGCACGAGCCCCCACAAUGGGACUGCGACACGGCCCAUACUCCUACGGGAGGCAGCAGCAGGGAAUAUUGCACAAUGGACGGAAGUCUGAUGCAGCGACGCCGCGUGAGUGAAGACGGCCUUCGGGUUGUAAAGCUCUUUUACGGGGGACGAGGAAGGACGGUACCCUGGGAAGAAGUGUCGGCUAACUACGUGCCAGCAGACGAGGUAAGACGUAGGACACAAGCGUUAUCCGGAGUUACUGGGCGUAAAGCGCCUGCAGGCGGACUGGUAAGUAGGACGUGAAAGCCCCGUGCUAAACGCGGGGAGGUCGGACAAAACUGCCAAGCUAGAGUGCGUCAGAGGGGAGUGGAAAUACCGGAGUAGCGGUAAAAUG